rnacentral:rRNA from 1 species
UCCAUGCUCGCCCAAGGACGACGGGAACUUAGGGGAGCUAGGCAAAGGAGUAAGGUAGUAGUUCCUGCGAGAUCGACGCCUCGGGAAGCGGUGGAGCCUCUAGGCGGCGGCGGUGGGAGAGACUAAGAACAGCUGCGACGGCCGCUGCGGUAGGCCGAGAGCGCAGUCGACGGUGGUUGCACCGAGGUGGGGACAGAGGGGGUAGCUAGGGGUCGUGGAGGAGCGACAAGGGGGGACGCGCGCGGGGACACCCGACGCCGAUUGGGAUCUGCGGUUGAGCACAACGCCCGUGACUCCUACCCUCGCCCGCCGGCGUAGCGAUUCCCCAACCUCGCCGACCCCGCAGUGGCGGCGGCUUGAGGCCCUUAGCGGCGGCGGUUCAGAGGUCCCGUCCCGCCAAAGUUUGGGACGGCUGCUUGAGGUCCUAUGCGUAUUAGUAACGGCGGCGGGGGGAGGGGGCCGACGGGGCGCCAGAAGAUAGAGAGGGUUGAGGCGACAGCGCGGUGCAGAAGGCAGAGACGUACUUAGCGCCGACACCGUCGGUGAGGGGUACCGCCGGUAGGACCGUGUGGCACAGGCCCUACUACCUCCACUACAGCCGGUCCAGGGACAAAGGCAGCCGUAGAAGACGCUACUCUGGGCACCCCCGUCCAACGUGCGACGAGUAGACGCAGCUACCGCAGCCGCACCAGGAAGGGGACGGUUCGCACCGACGAGGAACCGACCUAGUAUCACUACUAUGUCAGCCGAGCCGCCCCCGAUCCCUAGAGCGACCGAUCGCAAAUAAACUACAGACCUACAAGGUUAACACUACCUUGUCUGCAUAUUACAUGACAUGUUCUUAAACCUGCUCCGAGUAGACACACCUACCAACACCGAACCGACGGCCCGUGUGUUAGGUAACUAAGUGUGUAUUCCAGUUUUGGCUCAGCGCCACAAGUGUUACGACCCGUAAUAAAUAUAGUUUCCUGCUCCUCCUUCUAAACCUACUGGCAUUGGUUUUACCGUUCCCGUCGUUGUACCAGCAGUGGACGUUACGGCUACCCACGACUCUAAUUCUACAAACCAAAUAAACAACUUUCAAUGUAGGGUACAAAGUACUAAAUAAACGGCGACCAAUUAGUACUAUAAAACUUGACGAGACUGUUAACGAACGACAGACGCAGAGAAUGAAAGGUUGAACGACGUGUAUGUCUAUAUGUAGUAAUCUUAGAGAAACAUGAAUAAGUUGUACGAAGUCAAUACGAAGAAACUUUUAGGUCAACAUCUACGUCACUUCGGGGUAAAUCUAGAACCGAUAUCAUAAUAAGAACAGAAUACUGAAUACUGCCUAACUAUACACUAUGGUACUGUAUCGUAACACCAUGGCACCAUCAGUGUAAACCACCAUCAAGACUAAUAAACGAUCUAAUGCUCUAUUCUGGUUCACGAAGACGUUGAGCCAACGCCAAAACUAUCCUUGUACUUCUGAACACGGUACGGUACCUCGUACAAACUAAAUUUCCUGUAUCAACGAGGUUAUAUAACUCGUCCCUUCUUCAAACAAUGUUCACAAAAUAUCUCAACUGCGUUCUCUGUAGGCUGCCCUAUGUAACCACGUCCUUAGCUGCUUCUUCGAAGGCAAGUCGUACCAUAGAGUUACCUUCUUAUAGGCUUCGUUUGGAGGCGAUGAACAGACAAGGGAAAGUAAACAGCACCCUUCUGGAAUCCUUCCAUCCUUCUGGAAUCCUUCUCACCCACCCUCCUUCCCUCCGUACACGAUAUCUACAUCCGCUUGUUACCAGGAACCUUUAAUAAUCAUGAAAUGUUUUACAGACAGGGGACACUGCGGAUGUUACUCGCUCUCUCCCACCUUCCUUCCCUCUGGCCUCCUUCCUUCUACCCCUAUAUACAUCUCUCUCCCUCUAUCCUCCUUCCCUCUACCCGUAUAUACAUCUCUCUCCUUCUAGUCUCUCCCUCCCUUCUAAAUGUCCUGCUAACAGUAACUCGGUGAGUUUAUACAUACAGAGACAACGUAGUGUGCCCGUUAAUUGAUAUCUUUUUAAGUUCCGAUAAAAAAUUUCACUGUAAAUAAGUGCGGCUAUUAAAGGUCAAAGUACACCGUUACUGCGUACCUCCUGCUGCCAGUGCUCACGUAACAGCGUUCGAGUGCCCUCCCUCCGUGUGUAGAGUAGGUUACCUUUUCGUGCGAGGCUUUUUUGGGAUUGGGAGGUACCUCGGUAACGAUCCCCCGCUGCUCUAGUUGCGGUGGGUAGUGCUGGUGACUCUACAUCUUCACGCCUCUAAAGAACGGACCGCAUAUUGUUACGUACAAGUUACCCAGCGGAGAAGAGUGCGUGUUCAGAGUCCCCCUCUGUUGCUGUCGAUAAGUCUUAUUGGUGUUGUUUUAACACUGUGACCACCAAUCACCCUCUUCCUUGGACUCUGGCGUCGGCUAAGACCUCGUUCCCGCUACACAUCUUCUAUCAACAUAGUUCGUAUAUAUAUAUUCAGUGAGACCUUUUUCACACAUCAGCAACAACAUUAUCUCUAGGUAUGGAUAUAAAACGUUUCAAGUUUUUUCGCGAUCCGCGAUUAAUACGCAAACCCGUGGAUGAACGCGAAAAGAUCGAAUCCGCACUAAUCCACUUUAAUCCG